CUCCACCCGAGACUCAGUGAAAUUGAAAUCGCUGUGAAGAUGCAGUGUAUCCGCGGCUAGACGGAAAGACCCCGUGAACCUUUACUAUAGCUUUGCACUGGACUUUGAAUUUGCUUGUGUAGGAUAGGUGGGAGGCUUUGAAGCGUGAACGCCAGUUUGCGUGGAGCCAUCCUUGAAAUACCACCCUGGCAACUUUGAGGUUCUAACUCAGGUCCGUUAUCCGGAUCGAGGACAGUGUAUGGUGGGUAGUUUGACUGGGGCGGUCUCCUCCUAAAGAGUAACGGAGGAGUACGAAGGUGCGCUCAGACCGGUCGGAAAUCGGUCGUAGAGUAUAAAGGCAAAAGCGCGCUUGACUGCGAGACAGACACGUCGAGCAGGUACGAAAGUAGGUCUUAGUGAUCCGGUGGUUCUGUAUGGAAGGGCCAUCGCUCAACGGAUAAAAGGUACUCCGGGGAUAACAGGCUGAUACCGCCCAAGAGUUCAUAUCGACGGCGGUGUUUGGCACCUCGAUGUCGGCUCAUCACAUCCUGGGGCUGAAGCCGGUCCCAAGGGUAUGGCUGUUCGCCAUUUAAAGUGGUACGCGAGCUGGGUUUAGAACGUCGUGAGACAGUUCGGUCCCUAUCUGCCGUGGACGUUUGAGAUUUGAGAGGGGCUGCUCCUAGUACGAGAGGACCGGAGUGGACGAACCUCUGGUGUUCCGGUUGUCACGCCAGUGGCAUUGCCGGGUAGCUAUGUUCGGAAAAGAUAACCGCUGAAAGCAUCUAAGCGGGAAACUUGCCUCAAGAUGAGAUCUCACUGGGAUCUUGAAUCCCCUAAAGGGCCGUCGAAGACUACGACGUUGAUAGGUUGGGUGUGUAAGCGCUGUGAGGCGUUGAGCUAACCAAUACUAAUUGCCCGUGAGGCUUGACCAUA
rnacentral:rRNA from 1 species